ACGAUGCGAUUGUGGUAUCACCUGUAAACCGCCUAUCCGACAGGAUCACCCAUGAGCUGAUCCUCCGUGGAAACACUUUGUGGCCUCUCGUUCGUAAAUUCAUCUGUGCUGUUGUGAGACAACGUCAGUAUCCGUCCCUCGUACUGGGUCAAGGAGCACGCAGCUGGGCACGGUGCUGGACUGCUCGUGGUGCCUGCCUAUUCUCGUUGAUUCGAUCCCGUCGAAGACGUCGUCUACGUUGGCAAACGCUGUGAGGCGCUGACGGAGCAAUAGACGAGUUUUUUGUAUCUGUGGCAUCGUUCUUGAGCGAGUCGUUCACUAGCUUCACGAACCCUGAAUUGCGCAGUUGCUUCUUCAUGUGAGCGGAGGAAGGAGCGGAAACGCGCGCGACUGUUGGCGGUCGUGCUCGCGACGCAGACGAGGACGAAAACAUACGAAAGAAAGCGUAUAUACAUGUAUAGAAGAGGAGUGUCUGCGUACUGCAUUCCAUCCAGUGCGUCUGCAUGUCGGGGAAAGCGACCGGAUACGGGGCACAGCGCCAGCAUUCAUGUCACUCCAACCACAGAAAGGCUAACGAGCAGAAACCCAUCUGACAGAGAAGGACAAGACGCUUUCGAGAAAAGGACGUCAAGGGACAGGAAGGCGAAGCUGCUGGAGCGGAACCAUACGUCUGAGACGGUGGCUAGGCCUCGCUCCAAAAGAAAAACCCAACAAGCGAGAGCAUUUCCUCGAACGUGCGGUGCAGGCGCCAUUGGGGAUCACGUAGCCUCUGAUUCGAAGAAGACUCCGCCCCGCUUGCCUUGCCUUGAUGGACCCUGGCGAGGAACGGCUCACAGGGGUUCCGGAUCCAGGACUGCCUGCUGUCCACGACACUCCGGAAGGUUUCCAUCAACUCUUCGUGUGACAACAAAACUGAUCCGUCGGGCAGAUGACGCCGCACGACCUGCUUGUAGAGUAAGAAGCUUACACGCCCGCUUCUUAGAGAACGUUGAGGCGUCUCCGCACCACUCCGGCGAUCGGAACAUCAACAGCACAGGUUUCCAGAAAAGACGAAACCAAACCCCAAACGCAAAUGCAGGUGCAUAUCAAGUGCUUCGUGAGGCAGCGCCCUGCAAGCCUUGUCUCCGGUGUGUCCGAUGUACCAGGUGUGCGGUAACCUGCACGGCCCCGUCGAGUGGUGCUCAUUGAAGGGGUGCUCUGCCUCAGAUCGGAUACGGGAACGUGGAAGUCUCGUGCGAACGAUUUUGAACAGGAGUUGGCGAGCGUGCGCUGCAUCCGGCAACAAUGUCGGUUGCACGGAGGCAAGAACCGUCCAUUCGUGACUUUUGCCCAUGAGACGGAAGGGCGAAUGACGGACAACUCGCGUCACUUAGUGCUGGGCUGCAGUUCUAGACGUCGUGCAGCGCGCAGAGGCUGCAGUCGUGCUCCAUCGACGGGAGCGUUUCCCGUGGGCUAGCGUGGAUGCUCUACGAUUCCCAUGGAUGCGUUCACGACAAUACACGCGCAUCAUGAGCAAAGGUACGCUCUGAGACACAUCGAGAAGGAGCGUGUGAAACAGAUACGGAUGCGCGAGAUGCGCUACGGGCAGCGGACCGAACCUUCGAUGACGAGACAAUGGAGAGCGAGAAGCGUGCCUGGUGUGACACCACCAGCAACAUUGCGGACACGCACUUGCUGCACUACGACAUGAAUAUCUCGAUGAGCACAGCGAAAAAAUGUGUUUCCAAGGCGCCCUGCAGCUUUAUGUCGUGCGAGAGUUAUAUUUUUUGAAAGAAUCGUCUUGUACUCAUUGUAGGCAGUGUACUGCAACGCCGGAACCUUGUGCUGAAAACCGAAUCAGAGGCCAGGAGAGAGAGCGCCUUGGCGUUCCGCCUCGUGCACUGCACUAGCAUGGGCUGCUUCAAAAACCAUACAUUUCAGUCGAUCGUAAAAACGUUCGGCGAUCAUAGAA